CAACGCUGUCAGCAGGGGGGAGGCGGGGAAAGAAAGGACAAUCAGAAGGAGACAAGACCACCUCAUUCUCUGAUGCAUUUUCUAUUAGGGCUAAGAGACUUCCAGGAACCAGAGGAAGAAAGAAACUGACAGCCCUCCACAACAGUUGCCAAACUUGGGUUCUGUCAACACCACGCACUUGGCACUUGCCUACCAGUCAUUAUCUUGAUUCUACUGCCCUUUGGAACACUGGCUUAAAGGUGCAACUACUACUAUUUUAGUAUUUGAGAUAUUUGUCCUCUCCGACACUGCUACACAUAGCACGUGGUAGAAGGGCUGGGGGGGGAGG